AGAACGAACGCUGGCGGCAGGCUUAACACAUGCAAGUCGAACGCGUGUAGCAAUACACGAGUGGCGCACGGGUGAGUAACGCGUGGAUAUCUGCCUUUUGGUUCGGAAUAACCCCGGGAAACUGGGGCUAAUACCGGAUGGUUCCUACGGGAUAAAGAUUUAUCGCCAAAAGAUGAGUCCGCGUACGAUUAGCUAGUUGGUGAGGUAAUGGCUCACCAAGGCGACGAUCGUUAGCUGGUCUGAGAGGACGAUCAGCCACACUGGGACUGAGACACGGCCCAGACUCCUACGGGAGGCAGCAGUGGGGAAUAUUGGACAAUGGGGGCAACCCUGAUCCAGCCAUGCCGCGUGAGUGAUGAAGGCCUUGGGUUGUAAAGCUCUUUUGGCGGGACGAUGAUGACGGUACCCGCAGAUAAGCCCGGCUAACUUCGUGCCAGCAGCCGC
rnacentral:rRNA from 1 species